ensembl:snRNA U6 U6 spliceosomal RNA
AGGCUUCAGCAGCACGUAUACUAAAAUUGAAAUGAUACAGAGAAGAUUAGCAUGGCCCCUGCAUAAGGAUGACAUGCAAAUUCAUGAAGCAUUCCAUAUAUAU